rnacentral:lncRNA from 1 species
UUUGAUAUAUAUACAAUGUGUAAUAUACAUGAAAAAAUGGCUAAGCUAGUCUGUGCAGGAAAAUACAAGCCCAUCUACAAAUCAGUGUAUAUGUGGGCUAUCAAGUACUACAUGGAUUCCCUCUCAGAAGAAGGAGGUAACGCUGUUUCUAAAUGAACCAACAGAUCCACUGCCAACUACAUGCGAUAUCUCGGGUGGAUAUAACGUCAUCCCGCUCAGCAACAACGAUAUCCCUAUGAGUUAGAGCAUCAUCUCUCUAACAAAGUGACAUCUUUACCAGAAAGAGCUAUCAAUAUCAAAGCCCACAUCCACUACCUGUUCACCGGAUGGUACAGAUGUAAAAUCCUCUUGCGAUCUCGGCGUCAUAUCAGCUCAUCUAUCAAAG